rnacentral:rRNA from 1 species
AACGAACGCUGGCGGCAUGCCUAACACAUGCAAGUCGAACGAGACCUUCGGGUCUAGUGGCGCACGGGUGCGUAACGCGUGGGAACCUGCCCUUAGGUUCGGAAUAACUCCCCGAAAGGGGUGCUAAUACCGGAUAAUGUCUUCGGACCAAAGAUUUAUCGCCUUUGGAUGGGCCCGCGUUGGAUUAGCUAGUUGGUAGGGUAAAAGCCUACCAAGGCGACGAUCCAUAGCUGGUCUGAGAGGAGGAUCAGCCACACUGGGACUGAGACCCGGCCCAGACUCCUACGGGAGGCAGCAGUGGGGAAUAUUGGACAGUGGGCGAAAGCCUGAUCCAGCAAUGCCGCGUGAGUGAUGAAGGCCUUAGGGUUGUAAAGCUCUUUUACCCGGGAUGAUAAUGACAGUACCGGGAGAAUAAGCUCCGGCUAACUCCGUG